rnacentral:misc_RNA from 1 species
CCAAUAGCGUAUAUUAAAGUUGUUGCAGUUAAAAAGCUCGUAGUUGAACUUCGGGGUCUACCCAUUGGUCAGGCUUAAUUGUCUGCACUGGUGAGAUGGAUCUCUACCUUCUGAGGAACUUUCAUGCCAUUUAUUUGGUGUGAUGGGAAAUCAGGACUGUUACUUUGAAAAAAUUAGAGUGUUUAAAGCAGACUAUCGUCUGAAUACAUUAGCAUGGAAUAAUGAAAUAGGACGGACUGAUUCUAUUUCGUUGGUUUCUAGGAUCACCGUAAUGAUUAAUAGGGAUAGUUGGGGGCAUUAGUAUUCAAUUGUCAGAGGUGAAAUUCUUGGAUUUAUUGAAGACUAACUACUGCGAAAGCAUUUGCCAAGGAUGUUUUCAUUAAUCAAGAACGAAAGUUAGGGGAUCGAAGACGAUCAGAUACCGUCGUAAUCUUAACCAUAAACUAUGCCGACUAGGGAUCGGACGAAGUUAAUUUUAUAAUGACGCGUUCGGCACCUUACG